rnacentral:lncRNA from 1 species
UUUGAAAUUUGAAAUUUGAAAUUUGAAAUUUUAAAAUUGAAAAUUGAAAAUUGAAAAUUAAAAUUUGAAAUUUGAAAUUUGAAAUUUGAAAUUUGAAGUUUUUGAAAUUUAAAAUUUAAAAUUUAAAAUUUGAAGUUUUUGAAAUUUAAAAUUUGAAAUUUGAAAUUUAAAAUUUAAAAUCAAAAUUAAAUUUGAAUUUUAAAAUUUUAAAAUUUGAAAUCUAAAAUUUUAUGUUGAAAUUUAAAAUUUAAAAGUUGAUACAUCUUUCGGAGCCCAAAAUGGUGGAAUUUUUUUCCUUUGGUUAAAGUGGAUUGUAAGUUUACUCCAUUUUUUGGAGUAUAGUAUAACUAUACUCCAAAAAUUACGUCAUUUUUUUUUCUUCCAAACGCUUCAUAGGAUUAUUUUCCUACCAGCGUAGCAUAGUUUAACUAUGCUACGUUUUUAGAGGUAUCCAAACGGGGCCUUAAUGUUGACCAAUUUGCUUGGAUAGUGAGACCAAACUCUACUACGUACGUACCUUUUAUUAGUAAAUUAAAGCUGUUUAAUCUAUUUCGGUUUCUUUCAUAAUAUUUUUUUUAUUACUAAUUAGAGGGAUUAAUAUGUAAUAUUCUAAACCUAAUCAUAGCAUAUAUAUUUUUUAUUGCUCCUUUUUUACUCGGAGUUACAAAUAAAAAUUCGGAAUCUGCUUUGCAAGGUGUAUAUGUCUAUACGCCAUCUGUGGGCAUCAUCGAAUCAAAAUAAAUAAAUAAAUACUUAAAUAAUUAAAAAGAUGAACUUCACCGAGACAAUUCUAGUUGUGUAAACAAUAAAAUUGACUGACUAAUUAUAUUUAAAAAGUUUUAUAUACACCAUAUAGAAUUCUUCUUACCGUUCAACGGUGGAGAAUAAUAAUCAAAUUCAAAUGGAUGUAAAGUAAUCAGCAGCGAAUAUUGAGUCGCUCAAUUAAAAGAUUGAAGACCUAG